AAAUAGUUAUUUAUUUUUCUAAACCCAAAAUACAGUUAGGGAGACCUCGAGACAGAUAGUUUACAGGUCGGUGAAAGAGGCUGGUGACAAAAUUGAGACACCACAAUACCUACAGAUAUGACAAAGACAUGAGAAACGGUUGACCUGGCAAUGUUGUUCAGUGUUAAAACAAUCCCAAAAAUGACAUUGAGAAAUCUAUCCUGGCCUAGAGAAAUGAGCUUAGACGGACUUUACAGAAUGCUAAUUCAUGCACUAAACUUCUCCCAGAAAUAAUCAUGUAUUGCAGAUUGAGUAAUUAGCGGUGUUGCGUCAAGAACUAUAGAGAAUUCUUGUUUGCAUUAGUACAAACAAUAAAAUCAAAAGGCAGGCAUGACUGUGUUCACAAGAGAGAAAUGCCAACUUGUUCUUAUUCACCAAAUUCUUCUGCUGGAUUAUUCCUCUUCUUUCUCAGAUCUGCACACAUCUGUUCAGAGAAGCCAGAUAUUAGGAAAUCAAACCAGAGUGACAAAGGAUGGAGCACCUAACAGAGGUUUGUGAACUACCUCUUCAUGCCACGCCAUAAGAUGAUUACUUUCAGCCAGAUUGAUUCCAUGUUUCUGUGAAUAAAACAUAUUGCACGUGACUGGAUCUUAAUGUUAUAGAUUAGCAAGCAUCUCUAGAUUCAAUCACCAUAUAUAUCUUACUCCUAAAGUUACAGGGUAACCGUAAUCAUCUACUUACAAUUUCCAAGACAUUCUUUAUAAAUGUUAUACUACAUGGCACAUGCCUAUGUCCAAAAGGGCAAUAAUAUGCAACUCAAGGAUCAUAUUCAUGUGGUGCCGUAAUUGCAUCCCACAAAAAGAAACCUAUAGGCCUAAGAAACAGAGUAAAUAUCAAUAAUACAUCAUUACCAUGAAAGAAUUUCUCUCCUAGAAAUUCAUAUCAAAGAGAGUGUGCACAGAAGCAACCCAUACAGGUCAACUCAAGAUAUUUAAAUGAACGUAUUCAAAGAUAUUCCACGACCUUAUUUACGGAAUUUAGACAAUUUUUGCUGCCAAGGUUAGAGCAUUGCCUAGUCUGUUUCUGGCACAAAAACAAUCUUAACCCAGCCUGCAGCUGAAUAACGUGAAAUAAGAUUUAAGAAUAAGACCAAUAAUUAGUACGUGUUGUACAAAGAAAUCUUAGCUACAGAAGGAGUUUUGUGAACAAAUUAAGAUAGUUAAAUGAGUGAAAGGACAGUAC
rnacentral:lncRNA from 1 species